AAGCGGUACACAAAAAGCCGACUAUUGCACAGUAGAUUUUUUUGUUGUAUCACGCCACCAUUGAUUAACAUUAUUGGUUGAUUUUCGAUAAAUUCGUCGAUUUCAUGUAUAUCAUUUGAUUUUCGUGUUAUUUUUUCCAAAAGUUAAAGAGACAAAAAAAAAACAAAAUGUCUUGCCCACUUGACGAAGCAAUUCAAGCUCAAUCAAUUUGGUCAAGCAAAUACGAAAUCGCUGACGCUGAACAAAAAUUUCAUAUAAAGAUUAAUUACGUCGCCGCAUUAUAUACCGAUAUUAUUGAUCGUAUUUCGGCUUUAGUAAGGGACAAUGUCACUCUCCAACAAACGGUCAAUCAAUACAAAACAGUACAGUGUUAUUCGGACGGCCGCAUCAAACAUUUGGAACAACAUCAACUCAAUUUACAAAAGCGCAUCAAAAUACUGGAAAAACGUGUUGGCGUCGUAGGUAGUGGUGAUAGAGCACGAGAAAAAUUAACAGUCACCACCUCAGUAGUAGAAGAAGAAAAAUCAAAUAAUGUAACCAUCGAUCCACGAGAAGGAGACGGAGAGAAAGAAACUUCAAUGGGCGCCGCCUCAGAGGAAGAAGAAGAACAAUCAAACAAUGUAACCAUCGAUCCACAAGAAGGAGACGAAGAGAAAGUGAAACUAACAGCCACCACCUCAGAGGGAGAAGAAGAUAAAUCAAAUAAUUUAAUCAUCGAUCCACGAGAAGGAGACGAAGAGAAAGACACUUCAAUAGGCGCCACGUCAGAGGAAGAAGAAGGAAACUUAAACAAUGUGACCAUUGAUCCACGAGAAGGAGAAAUAGAGAAUUCAAAGACAGAAGACAAAGAAAAUUCAAUCAUUGAUUCAUCAUCGGGGGUGAUCAGUGAGGGCGCAGCAAAGCCCACAACAUAUACCGCAACUGGUACCAAUACGUGCAAAUAUGUGCCGCUACAUAUGAGAGAAAACCAUAAAAAUGAUACACGUUAUAGUAAUUCAAAAAAUAUUCGCAUUUCCAAUAUUCACAGAAUGUUGGCUCCAGAUGAUCUAAAAAAAUUGAUCACUAAAAUUGGACCAUAUACAAAGAUUAAUUUUCCACGCGAUAAAGAUACACAAACCAACGCAGGAUACGCUUAUAUAAGAUUCAAAGAACACAAACAUGCAGCCAAAGCAAUUUUUCUAUUGAAUGGUGAAGACUGUGGUGGUCAAAUUUUCAAAGUUGAAUGGUCCAGACCAUAGGUAUACAACUAAAACUAAACUGGAGAAAUCAGGGUAAACGUAUAAUUUUGACAUAAAUAAAUCAACAACCAAGACAACUUGACACAUUCUGUAUUAUUUGAAGUUUGAUGCCACCCAAUUGUAAUGUUACUUAUCAUAUGGAUACACCGUUCUGAAUGGUAGGUCAUGGGGUCACGGAGUUUCAUUCCGUUGUUGUUUCAUAUGAUGCGAGCAAUGUU